AGCGAACGCUGGCGGCAGGCUUAACACAUGCAAGUCGAACGAUAAGCUAGACUCGGUUUAGUGGACAGUGGCAGACGGGUGAGUAACGCGUGGGAAUCUACCUUUGAGUGGGGAAUAACAAUUAGAAAUGAUUGCUAAUACCGCAUAUACCCUUCGGGGGAAAGGCUUCGGCCGCUCUUAGAUGAGCCCGCGUACGAUUAGUUUGUUGGUGAGGUAAAGGCUCACCAAGACUACGAUCGUUAGCUGGUUUGAGAGGAUGAUCAGCCACACUGGGACUGAGACACGGCCCAGACUCCUACGGGAGGCAGCAGUGGGGAAUAUUGGACAAUGGGCGAAAGCCUGAUCCAGCCAUGCCGCGUGAGUGAAGAAGGCCUUAGGGUUGUAAAACUCUUUCGACAGGGAAGAUAAUGACGGUACCUGUAGAGGAAGCUCCGGCUAACUCCGUG
rnacentral:rRNA from 1 species